UCUGCGGCGUUCCGUAAUUUUUAUCUGAAUUAUCUGUAGAAAAUUACGAUACCGUCCCUUCGACUUUUCGAGUUGGUUCCGUAAUCGGCAAGCGAACUGAAAGUUCCAUAAUUUUUACUAAAUAUUUCUCUCCGCGCGAUUAUUAAUAAAAUUUGAAAUAAACAAAGGCAUUUCUGAUGAGAAAAUAAAACACAUCGUAGUAAUAAAUACCGCUUAUCAAUCCAAUAAAUCCCUGAAUAUUAACCGAUAAUAUGAACCGUGAAAUUUACAGGCGACAUGAGCAUUUAAUCGAGUGAAUUUAUUACUGAUCAUAAAUGUUGAAGAUUUCCCUUGAAAAGUCGAUGUUCUGUCCAUCAAGGGUGAUAACUUCCCUGAAAGAGCAGACGAUCAGACCAUUCCCUGGAAAUCUCAAGUGUCGAUUUAUUAUUUCAACGAUGAAUCGUCUGCAAAUAACUGUUUUGUUCAUUACCCUGAUAAUGGGUAUCAUUGAUCGUCUCAUGGAGAUUCCACUCAAGUUCAUUAGAAAAAUCCCGAUAAUUGGAUAAAUGCGGUGCAACGAGUUUCAAGAGGUGAAUUAUUAUGGACGGAUAAUUACGGGAGAACUAAUGAAUUUAAGAGGAAGAAUUAUUAUCAGAUGUUCAAAUUAAAUAAAUUGUCAUUAGGUUAA